rnacentral:rRNA from 1 species
AGGUUGCGGCAAUAACAGGUCUGUGAUGCCCUCAGAUGUCCCGGGCUGCACACGUGCUACAAUGAGUGGCGCAAUGUGCUAAUGUUUUAAGGGAUAAGCGUGCGGCCAGUAGAACGUCGGCAAUUGCCCUGGCGUCUUCUACCGCACGAUUAUCAGCCUUCCCUUAACAGGGCGGGCAACCUUUUCAAAAUACCGGUUUGAUGUUAAAGUAUAGAGUCGUUUUUUUUGGAUGGUGGUUUACGAACCAAUACCAUCCGCAACUGCUCGCGAGUUUGUGGUUCUGGUGACUCAUGGUGGGGACCGAUGUUUGUAAUUGUUUGUCGCGUGUCAACUAGGAAUGCCUUGUACUGUCGAUUCACUAAGUUAUUGGGAAUACGUCCCUGCCCUUUGUACACACCGCCCGUCGCUCUUAC